GGGUGAUGGCGUGCCUUUUGUAGAAUGAACCGGCGAGUUACGAUUUGAUGCAAGGUUAAGCAGUAAAUGUGGAGCCGUAGCGAAAGCGAGUCUGAAUAGGGCGUUUAGUAUUUGGUCGUAGACCCGAAACCAGGUGAUCUACCCUUGGUCAGGUUGAAGUUCAGGUAACACUGAAUGGAGGACCGAACCGACUUACGUUGAAAAGUGAGCGGAUGAACUGAGGGUAGCGGAGAAAUUCCAAUCGAACCUGGAGAUAGCUGGUUCUCUCCGAAAUAGCUUUAGGGCUAGCCUCAAGUGAUGAUUAUUGGAGGUAGAGCACUGUUUGGACGAGGGGCCCCUCUCGGGUUACCGAAUUCAGACAAACUCCGAAUGCCAAUUAAUUUAACUUGGGAGUCAGAACAUGGGUGAUAAGGUCCGUGUUCGAAAGGGAAACAGCCCAGACCACCAGCUAAGGUCCCAAAAUAUAUGUUAAGUGGAAAAGGAUGUGGCGUUGCCCAGACAACUAGGAUGUUGGCUUAGAAGCAGCCAUCAUUUAAAGAGUGCGUAAUAGCUCACUAGUCGAGUGACACUGCGCCGAAAAUGUACCGGGGCUAAACAUAUUACCGAAGCUGUGGAUUGUCCUUUGGACAAUGGUAGGAGAGCGUUCUAAGGGCGUUGAAGC
rnacentral:rRNA from 1 species